rnacentral:tRNA from 1 species
GCAAUAAUAGCUUAAAUAGAGCAUUGGUCUUGUAAGCCAAAGGUGAGUAAAUCUUCUCUUAUUGCU